rnacentral:lncRNA from 1 species
CGAGGUAGUCCCCUUCGGUUCCUGCGUUGUUGCAAGUUUCAACGAAGUGGGCAACGUGCUGUUUUGGGUUUCCCUUUCCAUCAAAUUGCAUGAACUUUGGUGGUUGAUAACCCCUCGGCAUCCUUAAGGCAUCGAUCUUCUUUGAAUACGGCUUUGAGUACAACCCGGAGGUAUUUUAGCUCCCUUCGUACUGUGCCUUGAUGGUGUUGGUGAUCAUCUCUUGCAGCUGCUGGAUAGAAAGAGAUCCCAU